AUGUACAAAAGCCUCAAAGAGAAUCAGGCAUUUUGUGAUGUGCUUAAAAAGCAGAUCCUCAAUAGGAACCCUAGGAAAGAGGGUAUUGCCUUUGAGAGGAAACUCAAUGCUGAUGGGACCUACUGGAAACCUGAGCAGUAUCACAAAACCUCAUGGGUUGCUACAAAGGGACCUCCCGUAGAUCCAUCUACUUUAUCUGGUUUUACAUGUGAAUCUUCAUAUUCUUAUGAUGAGUCAUUUGACUCCAAUUAUAAAUUGUUAAAAAAUCAGAAUGGUGAAGUAUUUGAUAGAUAUGGCACUAACUGCAGGAACGGUCCCCCUAUGAAGAAAAUCUGGGUUCCCAAAAGGUGCCAUGAAAGUCUUCAGGUGAAUGUCAUCAUGACACCACCUGUGAAGAAUAGGAACCUAGAUCAAAUUCUUCAUAUGGACCAAAGUCUUCAUAUGGAUCCAAGUCCUCAUAUGGACCACAUUCCUCACGUGGAUCAAAUUCCUCAUAUGGCUCAAAGUCCUCAUAUGAACAUCAUCAUGCUAACACUUAUGUCUCAUAGGGAAAGACAAAGGGUUAUGAAUAUGUGCAUUAUUCUUCAAAUCAUUAUGUUCAUAAGUCCUCGAAGAAUUUCUCUGCUUAUUCAUAUGCUUACCCUAACCCCUCUUAUGUGA
rnacentral:rRNA from 1 species